UUGACGGGGAGCACCACAACGGGUGGAGCGUUGCGGUUUUAAUUGGAUUCAACGCCGGAAAUCUUACCGGGACCGACAGCAAUAUGAAGGCCAGGCUGAAGACUUUGCCGGAUUAGCUGAGAGGUGGUGCAUGGCCGUCGUCAGUUCGUACUGUGAAGCAUCCUGUUAAGUCAGGCAACGAGCGAGACCCACGCCCACAGUUGCCAGCGUACUCUCUGGAGUGACGGGUACACUGUGGGACCGCCGCUGCUAAAGCGGAGGAAGGAAUGGGCAACGGUAGGUCAGUAUGCCCCGAAUAUCCCGGGCUACACGCGAGCUACAAUGGUUGGUACAAUGGGUAUCUACCCCGAAAGGGGACGGGAAUCUCCUAAAACCAAUCUUAGUUCGGAUUGAGGGCUGCAACUCGCCCUCAUGAAGCUGGAAUCCGUAGUAAUCGCGUUUCAACAGAACGCGGUGAAUACGUCCCUGCUCCUU
rnacentral:rRNA from 1 species